GGUCUGUGCACGCCCUACCGAGGUCCUGAGUCAUGCAGAAGACACCGAAUCACAGACAGGCAGCAGCCAGGUUCCACACUACAAAGACGCAGAGGACACCAGACCACCAGACCAAGGUGCUGAGGGAGUAGAGGUCUCUGUCUUCUAUAGCUUCUUCAAGCUGGAAGGGGUUGUAGACCCUGCUCUUCAACUGUUUUGGUAUGCUGUGGCUCACUGGCUGGAUUGAAGAAAUAAAAUGAAUGUCAGAAAAUGAGA
rnacentral:lncRNA from 1 species